GUCUUGUUGAUUUUAAUUUCAAGUCUGACCUGCCCAGUGAGAUAUUAAAUGGCUGCGGUAUUUUGACCGUACAAAGGUAGCAUAAUCAUUAGUUUCUUAAUUAGAAGCUUGUAUAAAAGGUUUGAUGAGAAAAUGACUGUCUCUUUAAAAGUUAAUUAAAAUUUUAUUUUUAAGUUAAAAAGCUUAAAUGUUAAUAGAAGACGAGAAGACCCUAUAGAGUUUUAUAUUCUAUAAGUGAAAAAAUUUAUAGACUUGUAAAAUUUUUUUUAUUUAUAAAGUAUUUUGUUGGGGUGAUGAAAAAAUUUAAAGAACUUUUUUUUUAUAUAAACACUAAUAUGUGAAUUUUUGAUCCUUUAUUAAGAUUAAAAGAUAUAAUUACCUUAGGGAUAACAGCGUAAUUUUUUCUAGAGUUCUUAUCGAAGAAAAAGAUUGCGACCUCGAUGUUGGAUUAAAAUUAAAUUUUGGUGAAGGCGCUGAAAGUUUAGGUCUGUUCGACCUUUAAAAUUUUACAUGAUCUGAGUUUAAACCGGUGUGAG
rnacentral:rRNA from 1 species